GAUGAACGCUGGCGGCGUGCCUAAUACAUGCAAGUCGAGCGAACGGAUGAGAAGCUUGCUUCUCUGAUGUAAGCGGCGGACGGGUGAGUAACACGUGGAUAACCUACCUAUAAGACUUGGAUAACUUCGGGAAACCGGAGCUAAUACCGGAUAAUAUUUUGAACCGCAUGGUUCAAAAGUGAAAGACGGUCUUGCUGUCACUUAUAGAUGGAUCCGCGCUGCAUUAGCUAGUUGGUAAGGUAACGGCUUACCAAGGCAACGAUGCAUAGCCGACCUGAGAGGGUGAUCGGCCACACUGGAACUGAGACACGGUCCAGACUCCUACGGGAGGCAGCAGUAGGGAAUCUUCCGCAAUGGGCGAAAGCCUGACGGAGCAACGCCGCGUGAGUGAUGAAGGUCUUCGGAUCGUAAAACUCUGUUAUUAGGGAAGAACAUAUGUGUAAGUAACUGUGCACAUCUUGACGGUACCUAAUCAGAAAGCCACGGCUAACUACGUG
rnacentral:rRNA from 1 species